ensembl:lncRNA
AGUAUAUUAUGUUUAAAGCCUCUUCCUGGCGAUAAGCUUGUGUGUACCAUGACCCUCUUUUUUUUUUUGCACUGCCACUCUUGACACACAGAGACAAUCGGCAAUGCCAAUAUCAGUUAAGUCUGUUCCCGGUUUGAUACAAGCAAGCUUCAGAAUAGACACUGUUCACAGCGGAAGAUGCAUGGAGCGAAGUCUGGAUGUUGGUGGGUGUUUAGCUUUCAGUGAGGCAGCGAUGAUCUGAUAUUCUGGAUGUUUGGUUUGACAAUGUUCCAGAUGUAGACUGGACCGGUGUGUUCUCACAGUAAGCAGGUAGCAGUGUUUUGAAACGGAUGCAGGCAGCCACCGGUGACCGGUGAAGGGGGCGGAGGAGCCAAUAAAGACAGGUGAUUUCGAAGUCAUACAGUCAUGCUAUUUACACUUUCCGUCUUAUUGAACCAGUGACAAUUCAAGUGUUUUCAUUCAUGUGUCAAGUUUACCAGGGUGUCAGAAGAUGAGUGUAGUACACACUACUGAGUGUAGUAGUGUUGAGGGAAGCUCUUUGCCGGAAAGGGUUACUUCCUCACUAUCUGUACUGUGUGUACUGUCAGUAAACUGCCUGUUAAACACAAGCACUGAUAGCCAUCAACACCUCUGUGUCAACGACCAUUCAAGAGGAAAUGGGCCCAUUCAGUGACGAUAGCCGAUGACUCAGCAAUUCAUCUUUUAUGUAAGAGUAUGUAAGAUUAGUUCAGAUUUUCUGGCUAAAAAAAGAAUAAUGUCAGCAUAUUUGAGAAGUCGUAAGACUAAGUGCAACCAUGAUUGAUGGCCGACCUCUUUUAAUAUCCACCUUGACUGAGUUAAUUCCAUACUGGUCUUUGCCCCCCCCCCCUGUAGUUCCAUGGCUCCCGCCUGUCUAAGGGCCGCACCCCUCAGUAUGGAAACCACUGGGCUGGCGCUGUCAUUUUUAUCGUUGUGCUUAUUGGAUAUAGGAGACCAGCUGGUCUAAAAGAGUGAUUGGUAGAUGUAUGAGAAAUAAGCUAAAAACUUUGUUACGAGUACAGCCUUCCUGUUUUCAUAACCACUAAAAAACCCAAAGCAAUUCUUUUUUUUUUUCGGUCUCACAUUCGGGAUGAUGCCUCACUGUGAA